AUACAGUUAUACAAUUCCUCACAAGGAAGAUGGACUUAAGUGUUGUGAUGAGGUUGAUCCAAUUGCGCAGGCAAUAGGAGCUAUUAGUUGCAUGAUCAGGAGACCAACGGAUGGGAAGCUAAUGGGAUAUAAUGUUGACUAUCUUGGAGCCAUAGGAGCUAUAGAAGAGGCACUGCGAAGGAUCAAAUGGUACCCCUCCUUCUGUUUCCCCCUUGGCUGGUAAACUCUUUGUUGUCAUGGGUGCUGGUGGAGCCGGAAAGGCCCUUGCUUAUGGUGGGUAUGAGAAAGGAGCAAGAGUUGUUGUUGCUAAUCGCACAUAUGAAAAAGCCAAAGAACUUGCCAGUAAAGUAGGAGGACAAGCAAUGACUCU
rnacentral:misc_RNA from 1 species